AGAGUUUGAUCAUGGCUCAGGAUGAACGCUAGCGGCAGGCUUAACACAUGCAAGUCGAGGGGUAGAGGUUGCUUGCAACCUUGAGACCGGCGCACGGGUGCGUAACGCGUAUGCAACCUACCUUUUACAGAGGGAUAGCCCAGAGAAAUUUGGAUUAAUACCUCAUAGUAUAUAUCUUUCGCAUGUUAGGUAUAUUAAAGUUCCAACGGUAAAAGGUGGGCAUGCGUCCUAUUAGCUAGAUGGUAAGGUAACGGCUUACCAUGGCUACGAUAGGUAGGGGUCCUGAGAGGGAGAUCCCCCACACUGGUACUGAGACACGGACCAGACUCCUACGGGAGGCAGCAGUGAGGAAUAUUGGACAAUGGGCGCAAGCCUGAUCCAGCCAUGCCGCGUGCAGGAAGAAGCAUCUAUGGUGUGUAAACUGCUUUUGUACAGGAAGAAACAUCCCGACGUGUCGGGACUUGACGGUACUGUAAGAAUAAGGAUCGGCUAACUCCGUGCCAGCAGCCGCGGUAAUACGGAGGAUCCAAGCGUUAUCCGGAAUCAUUGGGUUUAAAGGGUCCGUAGGCGGUUUGGUAAGUCAGUGGUGAAAGCCCGCAGCUCAACUGUGGAACGGCCAUUGAUACUGCCAGACUUGAAUUACAAGGAAGUAACUAGAAUAUGUAGUGUAGCGGUGAAAUGCUUAGAUAUUACAUGGAAUACCAAUUGCGAAGGCAGGUUACUACUUGUGGAUUGACGCUGAUGGACGAAAGCGUGGGGAGCGAACAGGAUUAGAUACCCCGGUAGUCCAA
rnacentral:rRNA from 1 species